rnacentral:rRNA from 1 species
CAUCACAUCCUGGGGCUGAAGUAGGUCCCAAGGGUAUGGCUGUUCGCCAUUUAAAGUGGUACGCGAGCUGGGUUUAGAACGUCGUGAGACAGUUCGGUCCCUAUCUGCCGUGGGCGCUGGAGAAUUGAGGGGGGCUGCUCCUAGUACGAGAGGACCGGAGUGGACGCAUCACUGGUGUUCGGGUUGUCAUGCCAAUGGCACUGCCCGGUAGCUAAAUGCGGAAGAGAUAAGUGCUGAAAGCAUCUAAGCACGAAACUUGCCCCGAGAUGAGUUCUCCCUGAGACUUUAAGUCUCCUGAAGGAACGUUAAAGACGAUGACGUUGAUAGGCCGGGUGUGUAAGCGCAGCGAUGCGUUGAGCUAACCGGUACUAAUGAACCGUGAGGCUUAACCUUACAACGCCGAAG